CCUACGGGUGGCUGCAGUGGGGAAUAUUGGACAAUGGGCGCAAGCCUGAUCCAGCCAUGCCGCGUGAGUGAUGACGGCCUUAGGGUUGUAAAGCUCUUUUGUCCGGGACGAUAAUGACGGUACCGGAAGAAUAAGCCCCGGCUAACUUCGUGCCAGCAGCCGCGGUAAUACGAAGGGGGCUAGCGUUGCUCGGAAUCACUGGGCGUAAAGGGCGCGUAGGCGGCUUGCCAAGUCGGGGGUGAAAGCCCGUGGCUCAACCACGGAAUGGCCUUCGAUACUGGCAGGCUUGAGACCGGAAGAGGACAGCGGAACUGCGAGUGUAGAGGUGAAAUUCGUAGAUAUUCGCAAGAACACCAGUGGCGAAGGCGGCUGUCUGGUCCGGUUCUGACGCUGAGGCGCGAAAGCGUGGGGAGCAAACAGGAUUAGAUACCCCAGUAGUC
rnacentral:rRNA from 1 species